rnacentral:tRNA from 1 species
AGCCCCGUGGUGUAGCGGACUAGCAUAGUGCCCUUUGGAGGCAUUGACCUCGGUUCGAACGAGAAAAGCACACUUUUCUGGUGCCGCUUUUCAGCGACAAUCCGAGCGGGGCUA